rnacentral:rRNA from 1 species
AUUGAACGCUGGCGGCAUGCUUUACACAUGCAAGUCGAACGGUAACAGGCCUUCGGGUGCUGACGAGUGGCGAACGGGUGAGUAAUGCAUCGGAACGUGCCCAGAGGUGGGGGAUAACGCAGCGAAAGCUGUGCUAAUACCGCAUGUGAUCUGAGGAUGAAAGCGGGGGACCAGGCAGCAAUGUUUGGCCUCGCGCCUUUGGAGCGGCCGAUGUCAGAUUAGGUAGUUGGUGGGGUAAAGGCCUACCAAGCCGACGAUCUGUAGCUGGUCUGAGAGGACGACCAGCCACACUGGGACUGAGACACGGCCCAGACUCCUACGGGAGGCAGCAGUGGGGAAUUUUGGACAAUGGGCGCAAGCCUGAUCCAGCAAUGCCGCGUGCGGGAAGAAGGCCUUCGGGUUGUAAACCGCUUUUGUACGGAACGAAAAGGCUCUGGCUAAUACCUGGGGCUGAUGACGGUACCGUAAGAAUAAGCAUCGGCUAACUACGUG